rnacentral:pre_miRNA from 1 species
GAUUUCAUCUGAAAAAGUCAUCAAUAAUAAAGUUGUAUUACUCAUCAAGAUCUAUAGCUUCUAUUUUGGUCAUUUCUUCAUCCGACAAAGUGAAUUGUAGAAUGGUUCACAAAAUGUACAUCUCUUAUGUAGUUUAAUUAUAUAGUUUAAACUACAUAAGAGAUGUACAUUUUGUGAACAAUCCUACAAUUCACUUGGUCGGAUGAAGAAAUGAUCAAAAUAGAAGUUAUAGAUCUUGAUGAGUUAUACAACUUUGUUAUUGAUGAUUUUUUCAGAUGAAAUC